UACGGAGGAUGCGGGCGUUAUCCGGAUUUAUUGGGUUUAAAGGGUGCGUAGGCGGGCUUUUAAGUCAGCGGUAAAAAUUCGGGGCUCAACCCCGUCCGGCCGUUGAAACUGGGGGUCUUGAGUGGGCGAGAAGAAGGCGGAAUGCGUGGUGUAGCGGUGAAAUGCAUAGAUAUCACGCAGAACCCCGAUUGCGAAGGCAGCCUUCCGGCGCCCUACUGACGCUGAGGCACGAAAGUGCGGGGAUCGAACAGG
rnacentral:rRNA from 1 species